UUUUUCUUAUCAGUGAGCACUUAAUAUGCCCGAGAAGCAAGACUAUCUCUGAUCAUCCAUUCAGGAAGCGAGACUAUCCCUGAUCACGUUUUCGCCACAUCAGGGAACUGUGAAGGCAACCUUAUGCUCUAAUCUCCGGAAGUUCUUCUAAACUAGAAGAAAUGAGAGCUUGUCGUUUGCUUCCACCAGCUUCCUUCCUUGAUUGCUUACCUUACCUUGCAAUCAAUAUCACAAUCUUUGUAUCUUUUCUUUCUUUUUAUAACUCUCUGUUCAUAAGAGAUUUUAUUUCUUUAGAAUGAACAUCUGAAGAAUGAAUCCAUGAAGUGAUCCUAACUAUGACGGUUAUUUGUUU
rnacentral:lncRNA from 1 species